rnacentral:lncRNA from 1 species
GAUCAUAUCAAACGAACCAUUACAACGUCAUGUACAAGCUAUUCCCUUUUCCUCACGAUAUUUGGUCUAGCUCCAAGUUGACCUCUUUUUCUCGAUGUUGUGAGUCCGAUCCCUGAAUAGAUUAACAUUUAACCUAGCACGGCCAUGCAUUUCUUGAUCUGAUCACCCGAGGGGCCCAGAGAUAUCUCUCACAUAGAGAAGGGCAAAUCACAUCUUGACUGACUAU